rnacentral:rRNA from 1 species
CAGCAGUCGCCGCGGGAAUACGAAGGGUGCAAGCGUUAAUCGGAAUUACUGGGCGUAAAGAGUUCGUAGGUGGUUUGUCAAGUCUGAUGUUAAAGAUCGGGGCUCAACCCUGGGACUGCAUUGGAUACUGGCAGACUUGAGUGUGGUAGAGGCUAGUGGAAUUCCCAGUGUAGCGGUGAAAUGCGUAGAUAUUGGGAAGAACACCGGCGGCGUAGGCGACUAGCUGGGCCAUAACUGACACUGAGGAACGAAAGCCAGGGUAGCGAAUGGGAUUAGAUACCCGCGUAGUCCCUGUCUCUUAUAC